AUGGGACACAUAGACUGUGCUGCUGGAACACAUAAGUGGUGUGAGGAGACUUGGAAGCUGAGGUCUGAAGGCCUAAUAACAGUGAAUCAGAAAAAUGGGAAGAACCUAAUCGCAGGCGCUGCCGUGGGGGCUGGAAACGGACACAGCGCUCUGCUGGUGGGCGGCGGAGCUCUUCGAGGGAACACCAUUUUGUCCCCAUUUGAGGCCCAGGGAAGCCAUGAUCUUUUAAGAAACUCAUAGAAAUUCCAACUGAGAGAAAAUUAGUAUGGAAUUCUGUAAGCAAUUUCCUUCCUUUCUUAGAAUUCACAAUCUAAAAUGCAAGAGCCCAGGGCACCUGGCUGGCUCUGUAGGGGGAGACCGCCACUCUUGAUCUCAGGAUGGAGUUCAAGCCCUAUGCUGGCUGAAGCGAUUACUUAAAAAUAAAAUCUGAAAAAAAAAAAAAGUAAAAGCCCAUUCUUUGGCUGUUCUUCUAGAGGUUUGGUGUGAGUGAGCUGGAGAUCUGUAGCAUGCAGACCAGGCUUGUCCUGGGUUCCUGUCCUUGCCACAGAUGGAAGUGAAUCACAGAUCCCCUGCUCCCAGGUGUGGAUACUGUUUCCUCUCAUCCCAAGAAGAAUUCAGGCAACCUUGAUUUCAUCGGGCAUAUGUCAUUAGCUUAUCAAAGGCUCAAGUGGGACUACUCUGAAGUGAUCUGUGCUUAAAAACUACCUCACUGGGGCACCUGGGUGGCUCAGUGGGUUAAACCUUCGGCUCAGGUCAUGAUCUCAGGGUCCUGGGAUCGAGCCCCACAUCAUGCUCUCUGCUCGGCAAGGAGCCUGCUUCUCCCUCUCUCUCUCUGCCUGCCUCUCUGCCUACUUGUGACCUCUCUCUCUCUCUGUCAAAUAAAUAAAUAAAAUCUUUAAAAAAACAAAACAAAAACUACCUCACCGGGGCACCUGGGUGGCUCGGUGGGUUAAAGCCUCUGCCUUUGGCUCAGGUCACGAUCCCAGGGUCCUGGGAUCGAGCCCUGCAUCGGGCUCUCUCCUCAGCAGGAAGCCUGCUUCCUCCUCUCUCUCUCUACCUGCCUCUCUGCCUACUUGUGAUCUCUGUCUGUCAAGUAAAUAAAUAAAAUCUUAAAAAAAAAAAAAAAGAUCUACCUCACCCCCAGCCCCCUAGCCAAGAGCAUGGAAAGGACCUCUCUGCCACCUGCGUAAAGACCAGGAGUCACCAGCACUCUUGCCUGCCUGCUUGAGAAUGCUUACACAUUUGCUUAUUUGAUUCUUUUUUCUCUGCUCUCCCUUGGACUGACAUGCAUAGCCAGUCCUCAUAGUUGUUUAUCAGUUCUCCAAGCCUAUUUUAAAAGAUUUCUGCUUUCAUUUAAAAUCUAAGUCACAUUCUUCUUGCAUCCGCUGCUGUAUUUCCCGAAGGGGUUGUGUCAAAGGAAAUUCAACACCCACUUUCCUCACGAUCGGCUCCCCGGCUUGCUCACUCAUCAGAAGGCUCGUGCUAUUCGAUACUUCAGAAGAUUAUUUUCCUUGUUAGGUGACGUGUCAAGGGAAGGGGAGCUGGCCCCAGCGUCAGGUGACUGAGUUUUGCUCCCGUUUCUACUGUUGACUCAAUCAAUGUCCUUGGGCAAGUCAUUGAGCCUUUUCAUGCUGCGGUCUCUGGGUAUGAAAUCUGCCAACUGCAUCAUAUGAAUUUGAACCUUAGUGCCCUCUGGGAUAAAAAUAGGAAGGGGCCAGGUGUCCAUGUGGCCCCAAACUGAUGGAAUGAGGAGGACCAUGGGACCUCAAAGCUGUCCUUGAGCUGCAAACUCUGUAACAGGGUCAGGCCUCGGGCCUUGGUCCAGUUGCCUGUGGGGGUCAAUUCUGCCACUUGGAUUUUUCCAAAAAUAAAAGAAGACACUGCAUUAACCACCCAGCCUUGUAUAUUCUAUCUGCUCCAUAUCCCAUAUGCCUUUGUACUUCCCCUGUUGGGAUACUCACCAUUGACUGAUGUUAUUCGUUUGACCUCACUGCCCUGGAAACGUCUCAAGGGAGGGGACCUGU
ensembl:lincRNA